rnacentral:rRNA from 1 species
GGAAGUAAAAGUCGUAACAGGUCUCCGUUGGUGAACAGCGGAGGGUCAUUACCGAGUUUUCAACUCCCUAACCCUUCUGUGAACCUACCUAUCGUUGCUUCGGCGGACUCGCCCCAGCCCGGACGCGGACUGGACCAGCGGCCCGCCGGGGACCUCAAACUCUUGUAUUCCAGCAUCUUCUGAAUACGCCGCAAGGCAAAACAAAUGAAUCAAAACUUUCAACAACGGAUCUCUUGCUCUGGCAUCGAUGAAGAACGCAGCGAAACGCGAUAAGUAAUGUGAAUUGCAGAAUCCAGUGAAUCAUCGAAUCUUUGAACGCACAUUGCGCCCGCCAGCAUUCUGGCGGGCAUGCCUGUUCGAGCGUCAUUUCAACCCUCGACCUCCCCUUGGGGAGGUCGGCGUUGGGGACCGGCAGCACACCGCCGGCCCUGAAAUGGAGUGGCGGCCCGUCCGCGGCGACCUCUGCGCAGUAAUACAGCUCGCACCGGAACCCCGACGCGGCCACGCCGUAAAACACCCAACUUCUGAACGUUGACCUCGAAUCAGGUAGGACUACCCGCUGAACUUAAGCAUAUCAAUAACGGAGGA